GAAAGCCGUAUGCGGUGAAAGUCGCACGUACGGUUUGGACUGGGGGAAAAGUUGGAGAUAAAUCUCAAAGACUUACCUAUCAGUAU
rnacentral:ncRNA from 1 species